rnacentral:rRNA from 1 species
AAACGUAGGAGGCGAGCGUUAUCCGGAUUUACUGGGCGUAAAGGGCAAGUAGGCGGUGGCCAAAGUUGGGCGUGACAACUCCCGGCUCAACUGGGAGGGGUCGCUCAAAACUGGGUGACUAGAGGGCAGGAGAGGGAAGCGGAAUUCCUAGUGUAGCGGUGGAAUGCUCAGAUAUUAGGAAGAACACCAGUGGCGAAGGCGGCUUCCUGGCCUGUACCUGACGCUGAGAGGCGAAAGCUAGGGGAGCGAACGGGCUUAGAUACCCCGGUAGUCCUAGCUGUAAACUUUGGAUACUGGGUAUUGGGGGUGACAAUGCCCUCAGUGCCGAAGCCAACGCGUUAAGUAUCCCGCCUGGGGACUACGGCCGCAAGGUUAAA